rnacentral:lncRNA from 1 species
CAAAAGAUCUACUGGAAUGGAAUUACUCCCUUGAGUUAUAUCCUCAUUGGGUUGAGUCCUUGUUUCGUUGUGUCUCUCUAGCUUGUUCCUAGAUUGACUACACUUUUUAUCUUCCUUGCACUUCCCCGUAGUUUAGAUGAAUGAUUUCUCAGCAACCAGUACUUAUCCAUCUUUUCCCCGUCGAAAUUGGACUUCUACCCAGUAAACGGUAGUUAUAAGUCCUAUUUCUCUAUGGUUUUCUACCCUCAUACCGG